rnacentral:rRNA from 1 species
GGUUUUCGGAUCGUAAAACUCUGUUGUCGGGGAAGAACAAGUAUGAUAGUAACUGAUCGUACCUUGACGGUACCCGACCAGAAAGCCACGGCUAACUACGUGCCAGCAGCCGCGGUNACAGGACAUCUAUCUGAAUACAUAGGGUAGAUGAGGCAGACCCGGGGAACUGAAACAUCUCAGUACCUGGAGGAAGAGAAAGAAAAAUCGAUUUCCUGAGUAGCGGCGAGCGAAACGGAAAGAGCCCAAACCAGGAAGCUUGCUUCCUGGGGUUGUAGGACACUCUAACGUGAGUUACAAAGAAAUUCUUUAAAUGAAUCGACUUGGAAAGGUCAGCCAAAGAAGGUAACAGCCCUGUAGUUGAAAAGGAAUUUCCUCCGGAGUGUAUCCUGAGUACGGCGGAACACGUGGAAUUCCGUCGGAAUCCGGGAGGACCAUCUCCCAAGGCUAAAUACUACCUAGUGACCGAUAGUGAACCAGUACCGUGAGGGAAAGGUGAAAAGCACCCCGGGAGGGGAGUGAAAUAGAACCUGAAACCGUGUGCCUACAAGUAGUCGGAGCCCGUUAAUGGGUGACGGCGUACCUUUUGUAGAAUGGACCGGCGAGUUACGAUCGUAUGCAAGGUUAAGUGGAAGACACGGAGCCGUAGCGAAAGCGAGUCUGAAUAGGGCGAAGGAGUAUGCGGUCGUAGACCCGAAACUGUGUGAUCUACCCAUGUCCAGGGUGAAGGUCAGGUAACACUGACUGGAGGCCCGAACCCACGUAUGUUGAAAAAUGCGGGGAUGAGGUGUGGGUAGCGGUGAAAUUCCAAUCGAACACAGAGAUAGCUGGUUCUCUCCGAAAUAGCUUUAGGGCUAGCCUCAAGAUAGUGAGUACUGGAGGUAGAGCACUGAUUGGACUAGGGGCCCCUACCGGGUUACCGAAUUCAGUCAAACUCCGAAUGCCAGUUACUUCAACUUGGGAGUCAGACUAUGGGUGAUAAGGUUCAUAGUCGAAAGGGAAACAGCCCAGACCGCCAGCUAAGGUCCCAAAAUAUACGUUAAGUGGAAAAGGAUGUGGCGUUGCACAGACAACCAGGAUGUUGGCUUAGAAGCAGCCAUCAUUGAAAGAGUGCGUAAUAGCUCACUGGUCGAGUGACGCUGCGCCGAAAAUGUACCGGGGCUAAACGUAUUACCGAAGCUGCGGAUUGUUCUUACGAACAAUGGUAGGAGAGCGUUCAAAGUGCAGAGAAGUCAGACCGUGAGGACUGGUGGAGCGCUUUGAAGUGAGAAUGCCGGUAUGAGUAGCGAAAAAAGAGUGAGAAUCUCUUUCACCGAAUGCCUAAGGUUUCCUGAGGAAGGCUCGUCCUCUCAGGGUUAGUCGGGACCUAAGCCGAGGCCGACAGGCGUAGGCGAUGGACAACAGGUUGAUAUUCCUGUACCACCUCAUGAUCGUUUGAACAAUGGGGGGACGCAGGAGGAUAAGGAGUGCGCACUGAUGGAUGUGCGUCCAAGCAUGCGAGGAAGUCAGACAGGCAAAUCCGUCUGAUAUAUUUCUGAGCUGUGACGGGGAGGGAAAUAGAGUACCGAAGUUCCUGAUUUCACACUGCCAAGAAAAGCCUCUAGUUAGAUCAUAGGUGCCCGUACCGCAAACCGACACAGGUAGGCGAGGAGAGAAUCCUAAGGUGAGCGGGAGAACUCUCGUUAAGGAACUCGGCAAAAUGACCCCGUAACUUCGGGAGAAGGGGUGCUCACUUGUGAGUGAGCCGCAGUGAAUAGGCCCAAGCGACUGUUUAGCAAAAACACAGGUCUCUGCGAAGCCGAAAGGCGAAGUAUAGGGGCUGACACCUGCCCGGUGCUGGAAGGUUAAGGGGAAGAGUUAGCUCUUCGGAGCGAAGCUUUGAACCGAAGCCCCAGUAAACGGCGGCCGUAACUAUAACGGUCCUAAGGUAGCGAAAUUCCUUGUCGGGUAAGUUCCGACCCGCACGAAAGGUGCAACGACUUGGGCACUGUCUCAACGAGAGACCCGGUGAAAUUAUACUAUGCGUGAAGAUGCGCAUUACCCGCGACAGGACGGAAAGACCCCGUGGAGCUUUACUGUAGCCUGAUAUGGAAUGUUUGUGCAGUUUGUACAGGAUAGGUGGGAGCCUUUGAAGCGUGAGCGCCAGCUUACGUGGAGGCACCCGUGGGAUACCACCCUAACUGUAUGACCAUUCUAACCCAGGACCGUAAUCCGGUUCGGAGACAGUGUCAGGCGGGCAGUUUGACUGGGGCGGUCGCCUCCUAAAAGGUAACGGAGGCGCCCAAAGGUUCCCUCAGAAUGGUUGGAAAUCAUUCGUAGAGUGUAAAGGCAGAAGGGAGCUUGACUGCGAGACCUACAAGUCGAGCAGGGACGAAAGUCGGGCUUAGUGAUCCGGUGGUUCCGCAUGGAAGGGCCAUCGCUCAACGGAUAAAAGCUACCCCGGGGAUAACAGGCUUAUCUCCCCCAAGAGUUCACAUCGACGGGGAGGUUUGGCACCUCGAUGUCGGCUCAUCGCAUCCUGGGGCUGUAGUCGGUCCCAAGGGUUGGGCUGUUCGCCCAUUAAAGCGGUACGCGAGCUGGGUUCAGAACGUCGUGAGACAGUUCGGUCCCUAUCCGUCGUGGGCGUUGGAAGUUUGAGAGGAGCUGUCCUUAGUACGAGAGGACCGGGAUGGACACACCGCUGGUGUACCAGUUGUUCCGCCAGGAGCAUAGCUGGGUAGCUACGUGUGGAAAGGAUAAGUGCUGAAAGCAUCUAAGCAUGAAGCCCCCCUCAAGAUGAAACUUCCCAUCACUUCAAGUGAGUAAAAUCCCUCAGAGACGAUGAGGUUGAUAGGUCCGAGGUGGAAGCGUGGCGACACGUGCAGCUGACGGAUACUAAUCGAUUGAGGACUUAUCU